AAUUUAUAUGAAAAAAUAAAGAAAAAAAGCUGGAGAAAGGUACAGACAUUCCUGAAUUAAAAUAUUACAAAAAAAAAUUACAAAAGUGAUAGAAUAAGUUUUUUUACCCACUCCCUCAUAAAAAACAUUCACCCAUUACCAUCAUCCCUAUUAAAACAGCCCAUCGUGGUACUGUUCAUUUCACAAAUAACACUCAUUUUGUGAGACAAUUAAGGCAAUAGCCAAACAACACGCAAGCACUCCGAUUUAAAAUAUUGAUAAUAUUUAUUAUUUUGUUUGUUUAAAUUCACAGACAUUUAUUUAGUGUAUAUUAUUUUCAUAGAAAUAGUAUAACUUCAUGCUAGCCCUCAUGAAAUUUUCAUCAUAUGAACAUCAAAAUGCUUCACUACAGAUUUGAUGGGACCAUUACUCUGAAGCCUUUGCCAAAACCAAUCAUUUUAGUGAUUGGUCUGAAAUAGCAUCUGAUAGCUUUUCUCAUAGGCUCAACCUGGAACAAUAAGCCAUAAUGCAUUCCUCAGCUCUCCACCCUAUGUACUUGAGAAGAUCUGAGAUGGUUUUGAUUGGUUUUCGGUCAUAUGGUGAAUCUCAAAGCCCAGUGGUUUGAGUACCUGACCAGUGACCAACAGUCCCUGUUAAAGCAGGUUGAAAAAACAUGUUGUUCACAUCAAUGUACAGAUUAUUGGGCUGGUAAAAGAAAUAUCGGCCAUGUGGAGCUAUUGCCAGUUUGUUUACACCCGUCAAACCCUCUUAGAUUUCCACACAUGCAUUGAGUGUAGAGUUCACAAGUCUGUUUGGGACUGAGCCAACAAUAUCCAGUAAGUCAGCCAUUUCAGUUCCUAGUUGGACGCGAUCCAACACUUUCUAAUUAAUGCAUCCUUACCACCGGCAUGUUGUGAUAGGAAAAUUAACUACAUUGCCAGAUGGAAUGUGACAGGAUAAUUAGCUUACAAUGUAUAGAUCUUGAUAUUUUCCCCACUGUGGAAUAUAUUUGAAUCCCCUGUAGGGUAAUAAUUUUUCCUUUGUCAUGUGGACUUUGGCAUUUAUUGUGGUAUUGUGUUGAAGGGAACUGCAGUCACCUUGAACAUCCAGUCACUUUGAAAAUGAAGACUAAUAAAGAUUUUAUUAUGAGGAGCUUGUGUUUCUGCAGUCUUCACAAAAUAAAAUGAAGUGUUUAGUCAUUUGGCAGAACUUCUUUUCCAGAGCGACUUAAACGAGCAAUUAUGUUUAAGGGCUUGCUUAUGGAGAACAACAGAUUUUUCACCUUGCCAUCUUGGGGAUUUUAUCUAACUUUUGUUUACUGGUUAGGUGCUCUAACCAUUAAGCCAUCCAAACACCCCCCCACAUUUUGUAUGCAUUAGACAAUGUGAUGUAGUGCAAGAAUUACCAUUUAAACUUUUAUGUCUGUUCAAAUAAGGGUGAAAAACAAAUGUGCCUGAGCAUUGUGGCUAACCUUGCCUGGUCGGCCUUUGAGAAAUGCUAGUAGCUAGCCAUUUCAGACCAAUUGUUUAAACCAAAGGAUUUAGUAAGAGUGCAGGAGUACAGUCUGAUGGUUUUACAUAAAAUAUUAAUUAUUUUAUGGGAAUCCAUGCUUCUUAGACACCCAAAUGUCAGAUUAUUCCCAACAGAGUGUACUCCUUCUGAAGAGUCAUAUGUUAGGUGACAAUCUAGGGUGCCAUUUGGGAGAAGGUUAUAUAUAUAUGUAUAUAUAUAUAUUUAUAUGUAUAUUUUAUUGUAGUACAAAUAUAUAAGUAAAUAUAGUCAUAUUUUGAGUCUUUAUAGGACAUUAGUUAUUUUAGAGUUCUAAAAUAUCUUCAGACCCAUGACCAUUUACAGUACAGUACAGUAGGUCAAUGAACAAUAUAUGUAGAGAGCGGAAAAUGUGGAAAGUAUGCCUUUUUACUAUCUGUCCAACACCUAAACUAAAAUGACAACAUUUCCCAAAGAAAGAGACUUCAACAAAAGAAAUACAUAUUUCAACAGAAAACACAUAUUUUCAACGUGUUUUGGUCACAGGGCAGUCUGCAGGUGGAUGGGUUAAGGCUGGCAUUACUGAAGUGAGAACAGCUACAAAACAAUAUGCAAAUCCAUAAGAGAGAAAGGGCACUAAACAAGUGUAUUUCACACGGAUGUUAUGUAUCGUCAGACAGAUCUGUAAUUUUGAAAUGCACAUCUGUUUCUCCCCACUUUUGCUUUCUCUUCUGAUAGUCUAAGCAUUUCCUCACCCUUGUCUCUGCCCCUUUAUUUCUCUCUUUUCCAGUAUUCUAAAUUCUGUUUCUUAUGGUCUUCCUGUCUUCACUCCAUCGGUCUCUUUCUUUCAGGAUCAUUGAUAGAACCUCUAUUUCUCACAGUGGACAGAGACGGAGUGAGGGAGACAGAAAGAAAGAUUGAGACAAACAGAGAGGGAGGAAGAUGGAGGAAUGGAAACUCUGUGGACUGCCGGGGGGGGGGUCAAGACACGGAGGGAGAGAGAAUGGAGGGAGGGAGAGAAUGGGGGGAGGGAGAGCGAGGGAGAGAAUGGGGGGAGGGAGAGCGAGGGAGAGAAUGGAGGGAGGGAGAGCGAGGGAGAGAAUGGAGGGAGGGAGAGCGAGGGAGAGAAUGGAGGGAUGGAGAGAAUGGAGGGAGGGAGAGAGAAUGGAGAGAAUGGAGGGAGGGACGGAGAAUGGAGGGAGAGCGAGGGAGAGAGAGAAUGGAGGGAGGGAGAGCGAGGGAGAGAGAGAAUGGAGGGAGGGAGAGAGAAUGGAGGGAGGGACGGAGAAUGGAGGGAGAGGGAGAGAGAGAAUGGAGGGAGGGACGGAGAAUGGAGGGAGGGAGAGAAUGGAGGGAGGGAGAGAGAGAAUGGAGGGAGGGAGAGCGAGGGAGAGAGAGAAUGGAGGGAGGGAGAGCGAGGGAGAGAGAGAAUGGAGGGAGGGAGAGCGAGGGAGAGAAUGGAGGGAGGGAGAGAAUGGAGGGAGAGAAUGGAGGGAGGGAGAGCGAGGGAGAGAGAAUGGAGGGAGGGAGAGUGAGAAUGGAGGGAGGGAGAGCGAGGGAGAGAAUGGAGGGAGGGAGAGAGAAUGGAGGGAGAGCGAGGGAGAGACAGAAUGGAGGGAGGGAGAGCGAGGGAGAGAGAGAAUGGAGGGAGGGAGAGCGAGGGAGAGAGAGAAUGGAGGGAGGGAGAGAAUGGAGGGAGAGCGAGAAUGGAGGGAGAGAAUGGAGGGAGGGAGAGCGAGGGAGAGAGAAUGGAGGAAGAGAAUUGAUAUACAGAAGAAGAGAUCAUGGAGAGAGGGAGAAUGGGGGGAGAGAGGUGAGAGAGAACAGAGGGAGAGACCGCAUUGUCUGGUUCAUCAGACCUUGUUCCUCAUUCCUCUCCAUAGGUCCUUUUGCGUUGUCUCCGGUGUGUUCACGCGUCUUCAGCACCGAGUGUCUGGGUCCAGCCUUCUAUGGCUCAGGACACAGCACACCGUCUGAAUCCCAAAUGGUGCCCUAUUUCCUGAAUAGUGCAGACGCUUGGACCCAUAGUGCCCUGGUCAAAAGUAGUAUGUAGUGGAUGUUUGGGGAACACGGUUCCAAUUGGGACACCCCAAUUGCUGAGACCAAGGUAGGGGAGUGUCUCCCUGUACAGGAUGGUCGAGGGUGGUCUUAACUUUGGCCUCCGGGGCCAAUGUGCAUCCUGGGUUGGAAUUGUUACAAUGAUCUCCCAGUGCAAAACAAACUCACCUCUAACUGUCCUGUCAACUUAAACAAGCAGGCCGGAAAUAAAGUAUUUUUUUUUAAACAUGUUUUCACUUAGUCAUGCCACUGGGACUUAGUGAAAAUGGGAUUUCAUACUGACUCCCCGCCUCACACACUCCAGCUUUAUUAAAGUCUUACUUUGUGGUGUAGACUGUAAAGGUUCUGGCUCUGUCAUUCAGUGAAGGGUUUACUGUCAAAUGGGAUUUACAGGGAAGGUAUGAAGGAAUCCCAGAGUCUAGAAUUAUAACUGGGACUCUGGUAAAGAUGAUCAGAAAAGUCUAUGAAAAAUGUAAUUGUUGUUUCUUACAUUCAUCUAACUAUCAAAAUAUGUGAGAUAUGUAGUUUUUAUUGAAGUAAAAUUAUUCCAAGAAAAAAAUCCUAGAGGUGCCAAUAAUACGUUUUGACACAAUUAUUUUCUUUAAACAAUUUUACCCCAAAUAAAGGUUAGAUUAUUUAUAUAUUUGGAGUGUUUUACCCAAUAAACAGCAGUGAACUUUUAUAGGGGGCCAAUAGUUCUGGAGGGAACUGUACAUGUUGGGGACUAGAGAAGUGGUCAGUAGACGUAGAGGGUCAGGUGAGAAGGGAGAAUUGGUCAGUGGACAUAGAGGGUCAGGUGAGAAGGGAGAAUUGGUUAGUAGACAUAGGGGGUCAGGUGAGAAGGGAGAAUUGGUCAGUAGAUGGAGAGGGUCAGGUGAGAAGGGAGAAUUGGUUAGUAGACAUAGAGGGUCAGGUGAGAAGGGAGAAUUGGUCAGUAGAUGGACAGGGUCAGGUGAGGAGGGAGAAUUGGCCAGUAGACAGAUAGGGUCAGGUGAGAAGGAAGAAGUGGUCAGUAGAUGUAUAGGGUCAGGUGAGAAGGGAGAAUGGGUCAGGUGAGAAAGGAGGAUUGGUCAGUAGAUGGAGAGGGUCAGGUGAGAAGGGAGAAUUGGUCAGUAGACGGAGAGGGUCAGGUGAGGAGGGAGGUUAGAAGAUAAGUUGUUAGAAGAUAAUGUUGUUAGGCACUGCUGAUAAUCUUUUAGAAGGUAGGUCCCUCGGGUCUUAUAGCUGCUGGCCCCCUCUUUCUUUCAGUGUUGUCCCUCUUAAGAUGAUGCUUUAGCAGUUAUGGGCACAAGAUAGCUCCCGGAAAUCUUUGAAUAGUAGCUAGUUAUCCUCAAUCAACACCUUUGUCCGCUACCUCUUCCUCAGCACUGACGUGUUCCUCCUCUUCCUUAGCUCAUGCUUUAGUUAUGUGUUCUCAAAAGAUCAGGACUGGUUGUGAUGUGAUACAAAAAGCAGGUACUGUGACCAGAUGCAUUCUUCAAACAAAAACAUUAGCCAGUUAGCAAGCAAUAACUAGUCAAGGUAAAUAAUUUCGGCCUGUCAUCAAUCUGCAAAUCUCUGGCACAGAAAUACCAAGUAUGCAUUCAAACUUUAUGUUAUCAGAAACAAAACAGUUGAUAAAAAAAAAAAAUAAUAGUUAAAAAAUGAAACAACCAAAUAUAUACAAAUGUACAGGGGCUCUGUGAUUAGGCUACUCCUGAGGUACCAACAUUAAUAACAUCAGUUGACUAACAAAGUACAAAAAUAUUCAUUUUGAGCAAAAGAUCCUUUUAAGCAGCCAAUCCCACAGAUACCGUUAACUGAUUAAAAAAAUGUAGGAAGGAGGUAUUUUAUAUUUGCAUGGGCCCCAGAAGAGUCCUAAUUCAAAUCACUGGCUCGACUGUGUGUGUGUGUGUGUGUUGCUGGCCAUCUCAGGCUAGACGUUUUUUGCUCCUGUAUAAUAGCUGAGGGUAAUGUAGCAGUACAUUGCUUGGAAAUAUUGUGACUGUCUUGCUGCAGAGGCUCAUUGCCACUGUUGAAAAUCAUUUCCCUCCCACUCUCUUCCUUUGUCUUUCCUUCCCUCUUUCUUUUCUCUCAAUGCUGUCUCUAUUUCUCACUUUUCAUGUCAUUCUCCCUCCCCAUAAGUGUGUCUUCCUUCCCCCCCAUGUGUUUUUGGUAGUCAUUGGUUCCUCAGACACAAUAGACUGGAUGAUGAAGCAGGAGGAAAAUAGAACAGGAGAACAAUAGAACAGGAGAGCGAUAGAACAGGAGAGUGAUCGAGUGAUAGAACAGGAGUGAUACAGGGACAGAACAGGAGAGUGAUUCUGACAGAGCAAGAGAGUGAGAACAGGAGAGUGAUGGAGUGACACAGCCAGAGAAAUGGAACAGGAGACCUGUAGUAACAUGUAGCAGGACAGUGAUAAAACAGCAACAAGAGUGGUAGGGGGAUAAAGCAUGCGAGUGAUAUAGCAGGGGCGUGAUAAUGCAGGAGAGUGAUAACGAUAACGAGUGGUUAUGCAGGAGAGAUAGUCUCUUUCACCUCAUUCCUCCUGCUUCUGUGUUUGACAAAGUGGCACCAGACAAAUCUCUUCAACCUCCGCUGCACUUCUUCCCAACCUCUCUGCAUCCUUUUCUUCGUCCCUUUCUUCCUCCUUUACCCCUCCCUCUGCCAAUCCCUUUAUCCCCUUUAUCUUUCCAUCCAUCACUCUCCUCUGUGCCAGCGAGGAGGAGUAAUUAUCCGUCAUUAAAGUGGAGAAAUACGGUCUCUGCCAGGGAGGGAGAAAUGGAGAGCAGGAUGAUAAAUGAGGGGGGAGAGAGAUGGUUGUCAGGGGUUGCUGGACGAGAUGGAGAGGUUGAGUCAGGAGAAAAGAGAAGGAAAAAGAGAUGAUUUUCAGGGCGAUGGAGUAUGAAAUGGGAGGAGAGAUUGAGGGUUGAUUAGGCAGAGGGACAGAGGAGUAGUGGGGUGAGGUGCAGCCAGAGGAGGAGAAAGGCUGUUGGUUUGGGGGUUUUAUUAUUAGCUGAAUGGAUGAUGGCAAUGGGACGUAAAUGCCAUCUCUUGAUCUCUCUGACAUACUGAGGCUUCAACACCUUUCUGAUGCACUGGGACAUAAAAACCUAUGACACACUGAGACAUAAAAACCUAUGACACACUGAGACAUAAAAACCUAUGACACACUGGGAUAUUAAAAUCUAUGACACACUGAGACAUAAAAAAAUUUGACCCCCUGGGACAUAAAAACCUAUGACACACUGGGACAUAAAAACCAAUGACACACUGGGAUAUUAAAACCUAUGACACACUAAGACAUAAAAACCUAUGACACACUGGGAUAUUAAAAUCUAUGACACACUGAGACAUAAAAAAAAUUUGACCCCCUGGGACAUAAAAACCUAUGACACACUGGGACAUAAAAACCAAUGACACACUGGGAUAUUAAAACCUAUGACACACUAAGACAUAAAAACCUAUGACACACUGGGAUAAUAAAAUCUAUGACACACUGAGACAUAAAAAAAUUUGACCCCCUGGGACAUAAAAACCUAUGACACACUGGGACAUAAAAACCUAUGACACACUGGGACAUAAAAACCUUUAACACACUGAGACAUAAAAACCUAUGACUCACUGGGAUAUAAAAAUUAAUUACACACUGGGAUAUUAAAACCUAUGACACACUGGGACAAUAAAACAUCUGACACACUGGGACAAUAAAACCUAUGACACACUGGGACAAUAAAACCUAUGACACACUGGGACAUUAAAAUAUCUGACACACUGGGGCAUUAAAACGUAUGACACCCUGGGACAAUAAAACCUAUGACACACUGGGACAAUAAAACCUAUGACACACUGGGACAAUAAAACAUCUGACACACUGGGACAAUAAAACCUAUGACACACUGGGACAAUAAAACCUAUGAUGACACACCGGGACAUUAAAAUAUCUGACACACUGGGGCAUUAAAACGUAUGACACACUGGGACAAUAAAACCUAUGACACACUGGGACAAUAAAACCUAUGACAAACUGGGACAUUAACACAUCUGACACACUGGAGAUUUAAAACCUCUAACAUAUUGAGGAUUUAAAACCUCUGACACACUGGAGAUUCAAAACCUCUGACACACAUUAUCUUUGACAGCAGAAUUGUAAGACCUUUCUGACACACUGGGGCUUAAAAGCCUCUCUGAACUUUGACUGUUCACUGCUGAGCUUUUCUGUGUGUGUGUGUGUGUGUCUGUCCACUAUACUCUCCCCUUUCUGCUUCACUGAUUCAGGGAGGCAACACCCAUAAUCCUUAAUGUCACUGACCUGUCGUGAGUGGCAUCACAGUGUUCCCUGCGCCCAUCACCUUCCUUUCUGCCAUCUUCCUUUCUGCCACCUCACGUUAUUAGCUAGCAAAGUCAGUCAAAAUAGCUUGCAAUGCCAAUGUUAGCUCGCUCAGUGGACCCUGAAUAUUGAGUAGCUGGUUAACGUUAUAUUGCAAAUAAAAUCUAUUAAGUAACAUCUAAAUUUAUGACAAAUGGUUUAGCUACUAAUUAUAUACCUUUUUCAGAUGAUGAUCGUGUUUUCAAGCCUUAGUAAUGCACUUUACACCAAAUCUACAUCAGGUACCAUUGAGUAUGCACUGAGCAGAAUGCUUGGCUGGCCGUCAGCCCAAAAACAAAAGUUUUUGUGACAAAACAUGCAGACCAUGAAUAUACUGUGUGUGAUUUACCAAGGAAAAACAUUUCAAUAAAAAAACAAAAAAUAGCUGAAUACUUUCUGGUUCAUGGUGCAUUUGGUUAUUUUAAUGAGGCCUCUGUGUCUGUAAUUUAAUACAGUAAUUUGACCUCAAAUCAAAAGAAGAGGGGAUGAAGAAAGCGAGAAAGGAUGGGAAGUAAUAUCCCUUAUGAAAAAGAGGUUGGUUUUUUAGGAGGGGUUCUGAAACAAUGUGCUGGAUAACGAUCAUAGCAGUAAUGUUGCCCGCGAUGAUAAUCAUAAUUACAAGACAACAGUUUGUUAGUUUGGUUUCUGUAUACUGUACACUCAUGUGCUUUGUAGAGACAGUGAUCUCUUUGGAGAGAAUGGGGUCGAAUAGAAAGGAGCCAGACAGAAGGAGACUCUGGAAUCCGGCGAGUUUUGAGGGACAGAGAGAGGAAAAGAAAGACAGUGAGAGAUUGACACAGAGGAAAAACAGGGGAAUAGAGAUGAACAGACAGAGAGAAAGAGAGAGAGGUAGGCUUCGUCUACAAAUACAACUUACCCCUUCACAUAAACACGUGCUGAAACCUGUCCUAUGAAAGGCUGCACGGAACCUUCACCAUGCUUCUCACACCUGUCCUAUGAAAGGCUGCACGGAACCUUCACCAUGCUUCUCACACCUGUCCUAUGAAAGGCUGCACGGAACCUUCACCAUGCUUCUCACACCUGUCCUAUGAAAGGCUGCACGGAACCUUCACCAUGCUUCUCACACCUGUCCUAUGAAAGGCUGCACGGAACCUUCACCAUGCUUCUCACACCUGUCCUACCCUUUCUCAGGCCGUACGUAUGUAAGCUUUUCAGCCUGCUGGUCCAGGAUCAGUUAAGUCUUUCACAUCACUAUGGAAAAGAUUAUACGGUAUGCUGAUCCUAGACCAGCAAUCUUUCCGAGGGAAGCUUAAUACCUUUCACUCCCAGGUGUUCACAAGGAUGUAGAAGGUUGGGCCAAGGGGUUGUUUCUGGACACGCUGCUGUGGCGUCUCCAGGUGCUCCGGGUUAAGGUCUACCCUAGGUACUGAUCUUGGAUCAGCUUCCCAGCCCCCAAACCAAACCUUGACCAUUAGUGGGAGAGAUUCCAAACUGACCCAAAACCAGCGUCUAGGGACUUCUUCACCCUACACUUAUUCAGGUUUCCAAGUCUGGACGUUGGAUGGCUGUGCUCCCGGAAUGCCAGGACUGGCCGUGGCUGUGCCGAUCGGAGGACAGACAGCGUCAGGCGUCUUUGCUCGGAGCUGGAGAGCUCAUCAUCAUCAUCAUCAUAGCGGUGAUCGUCAUGUUUUGUGGAGACAAGGACACAGCGACACGGCCUCUCGCCCGGUACCAAACCAACCAGCCUCAAGGAUGCCAGGACACUCAGUUCAGAUCGGAAAUUAUAUACUGUUACUCAUAUAGUUGCUGAUCCGGGCUCCAAAUGCCGACUGGCUGCCAUUUUGGCCCCCAUCGUCCACAAAGUUUUCAGAAAAAGCGGGGUCCCUGAUUACAAAAAGAGUUCCCCUUUUUAGUGUGACAACGAGCGGAUCCCGUUGAAUGGACCAUCAGCCUUCGUCUGACUCUGGCUUGAUUGAUUAACGAGUCCUCAGUCUCAUUCUGAUCCGGUUAUAAUAUGUCUCGGUAUCAGCUGAAUGGAGUGGUUCUGAAUGGUUGGCAUGUGUUUUAACGCGAUGAAGUCUGAGAAUGGCUUCG
ensembl:lncRNA